AACGAACGCUGGCGGCAUGCCUAACACAUGCAAGUCGAACGAGACCUUCGGGUCUAGUGGCGCACGGGUGCGUAACGCGUGGGAACCUGCCCUUAGGUUCGGAAUAACUCCCCGAAAGGGGUGCUAAUACCGGAUAAUGUCUUCGGACCAAAGAUUUAUCGCCUUUGGAUGGGCCCGCGUUGGAUUAGCUAGUUGGUAGGGUAAAAGCCUACCAAGGCGACGAUCCAUAGCUGGUCUGAGAGGAUGAUCAGCCACACUGGGACUGAGACACGGCCCAGACUCCUGCGGGAGGCAGCAGUGGGGAAUAUUGGACAAUGGGCGAAAGCCUGAUCCAGCAAUGCCGCGUGAGUGAUGAAGGCCUUAGGGUUGUAAAGCUCUUUUACCCGGGAUGAUAAUGACAGUACCGGGAGAAUAAGCGCCGGCUAACUCCGUG
rnacentral:rRNA from 1 species